AGGAUGAACGCUGGCGGCGUGCUUAACACAUGCAAGUCAAGGGGGCCCAGCAAUGGGUAACCGGCGAACGGGUGCGUAACACGUGAGCAACCUACCGAAUUGUGGGGGAUAGCCGGCCCAACGGCCGGGUAAUACCGCAUACGCUCGAGACGAGGCAUUUCGACUCGAGGAAACCUACGGGACAUUUCGAGGGGCUCGCGGCCUAUCAGCUAGUUGGUGAGGUAACGGCUCACCAAGGCGACGACGGGUAGCUGGUCUGAGAGGAUCGGCCAGCCA
rnacentral:rRNA from 1 species